rfam:Clostridium cadaveris strain NLAE-zl-G419 genome assembly, contig: Ga0070261_103
AUAAUGAUACUCCCUUACAGUCAUAGUUCGAGCGUUUAAAGCGUCAAAAACAAUGAGUAAGGCUGGAAGAAAUACUUGCAGAGGUUAAAUUCCUGUGG